ensembl:lncRNA
GAGCUCUUUCUUGACCACGUAAGCUGCGAAAGGGCUUGGCCAGGGGAUGCAGCAUCCACCUGGGCAGCCCUGGCGAUGCUCACAUUGUUGACCUCUGUCUGUGUCCAGCUCCUUCAGUGAUUCCUGGCAACAUCAAAGAACUAAGACAACAAAACGGGAUGCUUUCCGAUCAUAAAGAUGCGGGUCCUUCAGUCUCUUUCAAGAAAUAAUAGUGUCGGUGACACCUCUCCGCCAAGAUUUUCAUCACACACGGCCCGGCGGCUGGGAAAGGCUGGACUACCUCCACACAGCCAUAGGUGCCAUUUUCUACCCAGCACGCACCUGGCGUUGGAAGAUGUUAAGAUUUCCUGUUAUUUCCUCACGAUUGCUAUAUCCCUGGUAUUUGGGGGAAAGGAACAAAGAAGUAACAAAAAUCUGAAAACUGAUCAUUGCUGGGAAGAGAUGACCGCUGAAAUAACAAAGGGCAUCCCUGAGAAACGCUGCCCCAGAGCAGCCCCCAAGCCACGUGACUUGGCAAUUUCACCAGUGAGAACAGAAUGAAGCAACUCAAAUCUCCACAGACGGUGCAGCGCCACCUCCCCUGCCCGCAGCAGGCUGGAACUGUAGGAAAUAAGCUGAACGCUGCUAAUGCUGAGAGCGCCAGCGCUCGAUGAGACUCCACGGGGCUCUCCAGCAGGCUCUUGGGAGGCCAAGCACACACUGGGAUGUGGACUUGUCACUCCAACUGGAUGAGCCGCCCCAGAGCCGGGCACUAAUUUACACGCGCAGGUCUGAGCCAGUGAGUUGCUGAAGAGGAAGUAGAAUGAAGAAAGGAAAUCAUGAAGAUAAAAGCCAUAGUUAAUGAAAUAGCAAACACACAUAAAUGAGAGAAUCGAGACCAACAGUAACUCUUGGAAAAAGAAGGAACCACAAGCAAGACUGGAAAAGCUAAUCAAGUAGACAGACAGAAGACAAGAAACAGUAGGAUGAAAGGGAGACCUGCUUGAAGACAUUUCAGACAUUCAAUAGGUGCCAUUUCAGAUUCAAAUGACAGAAUGUGGUCGGGAAGAAGCAGUGUACACGUUAAAGUUCCAUGAGGCUGUGCAGAUGCCACUUAAACACUGAUUCCUGAGGCGAGAGUUCUUCUGCCAGCUCACAUCAAAGCACUCAGUGAAGGUGAAGGCGAAUGACCUUUGGGCUCUGCAACCCUGCUUUCUUCCGCUCUCCUGCCUCCCUUUCUCCUCUUGCUAGAUGGCAAAAUUACAUGAAGAUCUUAAUUUGAAAUUCUUAAGGGGAACAAACCAAGAAGAAUAGAAGGGGCUCUUGUCCAAGAAUCUUAGGCCCCUCCAAUAUGAGACAUUCCUGAGACAGAAAAAUGUGUCUUCUCCGUGGGAACCAAGACAGUUUUGCUGUGUCCUCUACACACGAGAAUAAGCUAUCCAUCUGAUAGCCUCAUAAUAAGAUGUGCCCUUCUAGUCUCAGCACUCUUAGAAUGAAUUAUUUAACAUACUCCUAUUGUUCCCAUGUAAGUCCUGUGUAGAAUGCAGAGCUCAUUUGGGGGAAAAAAGGAAACACUGGAAGUAGCAAAAAAAAAAAAAAAUGCACCUGAGCUUAUGGUUCCUGCCAAUGGUAAAUUCACUGCUUGCACUUUUGCAUAAAAAUGUUUUUACUCCUUUCUUCCAUGGUGUGCACAAAGUAACGACUCUUCCCGGACACCUGCAGAGAGACCUAUGAGAAUGUCUGAUAAUUCUUACCAUGUUGGCCUCUGCAUCUUCUCUCCAACCUGCUCCUAAGCAGAGCACAUCUGCCACGAAAUAUCAGCAAAAGAAGGCUUCAUUAAAUAUUAAAUGCUGUUUUCUGCCUUUGCAAGCAUUUGCCCUAUACAAAAAACCCUCACAUGGUGAAAAUGUACAGAAGAGCAGCAAGAACUUGAUGAGCCGUCAGCAGCUCUGUGCAGGCGGCAGCCCAUCGGUGUGCGGCCAGUUUCUUACUCUUAGCCACCUGCUGCAGCCCCAAGUGGAACAGGGAUUUCAAUGAUGUCUCUAAAUGAUCAUUAAAGUGGAACCUUGAGACAGUACAUUUGUUCAGCAUCUUCAAGAUGCAUAAAACCUAUCUGUCCAAUAGCUAAUAAUUCAAAUAAAGAGAAAAAGUAAAUGUGAUAUAAGCUUUAUAUUGAUUUUUUCAAAAUUUGCUCCUAUGCAUUUACGUAUGUAAUUGGAAAUAAAGGGUUUCUAUUUUACGUCACCUUGGAAUUUUCCCCUUCUAUAAUCUUAAACCCUUCCUUGAAAGAUCUCAGAGGCGGUUGGUUUUCCUUCUACUGCCCUCUGGUGGUCUAGUCGCUGACUGGUCUGGUUCACAAGUGUCAAUACGCUAAAGGUUUUUCAAUAAACAGAUUUUUUUAUGUAAUGACAAAUGUUCACGGAGAAAUCUGGUCAGUAGAUUUUUAUUUCUCGUGUAUCUGACAUUUGUUAUGUCUGAAUUCACAGAUCCUUUUUACUUAACUCCAAAUCAUCAUGACUUCAAGUCAUUCAUGUGUACAUUCAUAUCUAUCUUGUAUUAUUUUAGAUUCUACAUUAUAACAUAUUAAGGUUGAAACGUGGACUUUCCUAUCUGCCUUGAUAGUUAUGAAUUUUUUGAAAAGUUAGUAUUAUAAAUUUUAAGACUACAGGAGAAGAGCUGAUUAUUUGCACACUAAUAUGUGGCUUCAACAAACUCUCCCCAAACUCAGAAAACAGCAUCGGCACUGAUUUCAAACACCAUGAAACUGGUGGAUCUGAAAGGACGGGUCAGGGAGCUUCUCCUACUGUCAUAUCUUCUUGUCAGAAACUGCGACCUGCUUUUCUGCAGCCUGUGAUUAGCACCUUCUGAAAUCCCAGAUGUGCGUUAAUUCCAUUUAUUGUAUUGCUUCAAAUAGAUGGAGACAGUGUCUCCGAGAUGUGUGAUCCAGAUGGCUUUCCGACAAAGAGGAAUCUCUCCACCUCUGUGCCUGCAUCCAGCUCUGAGUGACGCCCCAUGCUUGCUGCCAGGCUCGCCUCUCAGUCAUUUGCCCAACCUUGGAACACGUCCUCCCUUCUCUCUGCUCACUGAUGAGAUAUAAUUUACGUUGAUUCAACUCUUCACAAAUUGCCAUCUGUCAGCUUUGCUUUCCUGAAUCCCUCAUCCCAUUCCUUCAGUGCAUUUGGUUGGACUGGCAGAAGCUCAGGUAUUGGCUUGGAACAAGGUCUCUCUCCACAGCAAAGGCCCCGUUGGAAACUGGCUCCUACCUCAUGAUGGUGCCAUCUUAUCAUGGUCUCAAUGGUGGUGAUGUUUUCAACUUGGCUUUUCAUUCUCCUCUAAUUCACAGGAAAUCUGGUGGGAGCCCUACUGGUUUCGCUAGCUGUGGGACUGGAUUAAGAGGCAUUUGACAUAUAUGUUCUCCAAAGAAUCUGCCUGUGUUGGUAGAGAGGCUCUUGCAGUGCUGCAGGUGCUGGGGAUGUGGAACCUUCACAGCCAGAGCACCCAGAUUCCUGCCUCUUCUGGAGCCUGGAGCACAAAUCAGUUUCACUGAAGACUUCCAUCCAAAGGGGCUGUCUUCAUAUUCCUUGUAAAGAUCUGAACAAAUCUUUCUGUAGGCCUGGAACGUUAAUUCUACUGAGGAAGUAGACAAGUAUCAUUUAAUUAAUAAGAAUAUUAAGGCAUGAUAAAAAUCUUAAUGUGGACAGACUAAACUUAAACAUGUAUUAAUGUUAAUGUUUUUAGAAGUGCUUCCUCUAUCCAAGAUUUCUAAAUUUUGACCUAAUUGACAUUUGGGGCCAAGUAAUUCUUUACUGUGGGAAGCCACCCUGUACAUUGUCAGAUGUUAGUCAGCAUCCCUGCCCUCUUCCUACUGGAUGUCGGUACACCUGUCCCCAGGUUAUGACAAACAAGACUAUCUCCAAACUUUGCCAUAUGUCCUUAGGGAAUAAAAUUGCACUCCCUUAUUAAGAAUCAUUGUCAUUACCGAUGAAUAUUAGUGAAAGAAACAUCCUAAAACAUGAGUGAUUCUCCAGAAGUCUAGGUGGUUUUAGCUAACUUCCAAGUGACCUCAAUGUAAAAGAAAUGAAAUAGAAAUUCAAAUAUGAAAGAAAAGGGUAAAGACUGGGGAGGAAUAUGGACAUAUUUUGUACAGAAAUGAAAAUGAUCAUGGGCUCUGAACAUCACCCCACCAGAUCUGGGCCCUGAACACAAGGACUCAUUAGCCAAGUGUUCUAUGGAGGUGUUUCUAAAUACGUAUUUCUUCCUUUAUUGGAAACCAGAAGCCUGUGGAAACUUGUGAUGGAUCACAGCUAGUGGUAAUUGCCUUUAGAACUACUGAUCUAAUGGGUAGAUUCUAAGUAAUAAAAGGAGGGACACACACACCCCCAUAGCCCAUGUAGAUGUCAUGGUCUACCUUAGCUACUUUUUCUAGUUGCUGAGACAAAAUACCUGACACCCAAAAUUGAAGGGGGAAAGGUUUAUUUUACCUCACAGUUUGUAGAGGCUUCAGUUCAUAGUUGGCUGGCUUCAAGGCACGGUAGCAUGGCAGAGGGGCAUCACAGAGGCGAAACAGUUCAUGCCAAGGAGAAGGCAGCAAGCAGCAAAGUAGAGAAGCAGCAAGUCUUAAGCAGCAACAGCAGCAGGCCUCCUUCUGUCCGUCAAUCCUAGCAUCACACCAUGAAUCAAUCCCAGCAUCACACCCUUGACCCCAGCAUCACACGCUCUAGAUCCAGCCACUCCAGAGAGCCCCCGCCUGUGACUGCAUAAGGCUUAGAUACAAGCCAUCUCACAGAUCUUGGGUAUGGGCCUUCUGAAUAUACCCUUCUUGAAGAUCUUUAUCCACUUGAAAUUCAGGCUUUUCCUGGGAACAGUCCCUAUGUUCAAAGUAGCCAUCAAACUAUAUCAUAUGGCAGCUCUGUGACCCCAGGUAAGCAGGGGAUUGUAAAUCUAUUUUAGCUCCAAGCCAUCAUUUCCGAUGGACAUGUUAGAACACAUGAUGUGAGUCUAUCAUAACAGUUUCUUUAUUUUGUGGAGUUGGGUAUACCAUGAGCUAACUCAUGCUCCUGAAAUAUGAAAAUCUAUAAAAUAAGAAUCCAAUGUAACAUGGUCAGUUCUGAGACAGAAGUUUAAGUUGAACCCAAACCCUUGCAUUAUAGAAGAAUUAUAUUGUAGGCAACUAUUCAGAGUGUACUGCUUCUCCCACUAAAAAAUAAUACCUGGCUCUGUAAUUUGGGACUAAUGUAAUGGAAUCCAUCAGGCCCAUCAUGAUUGAUAGAGACCUUUCUUAUAGUUAUAAAAAACAUAAGUAGGCAGACUUUGCUAAACCUAAUUUUCUGUACCUAUAAAAUAGAUGAUAAUCGUGAUAUAAAAGUUCCUGUGUCUGCCAGGUUUGCUAUAAGGAUUAAAUAAGAUACCUGAUAUAAAACAUAUGGUUGUUUGUCAGCACACAACAUCAAGGGCUCAAUAACUCUUAGCUGCUAGUACUUUAUUAUAGUACAUAUUGUUGCCACAGAGGCUACUAGUGAUGCCAUUUCUACAUCCAACACUUCAGUAGAGUUGUCUAUUGUUAUGGUUUGGGUAUAGUGCAGGCUUAUCUCCCAAAGGUUUGACUGUUGCAAGUUUGGUCUCCAUUGUGGUGGAAUUAAGAGAUGGUGGGGUCUUCAAGAGGUGGGAUUUCAUGGGCAGUCAUCAGGUCAUUGGGGGCAUCACUCUUAAAAGAAAUUAAGAUGGUUCUCAUGAGACACUAGCUAGUUCUCAUGAGAGGGUUACUAUCAAAGAUCAAGACUGGCUCCUCCUUAGUCUCUUGAUUACUCACCUUGCCAUAUGAUUUUUCCUCUCACAUGUACUUCUGCUAAGAACUCCAAAACUGUGAGCUCUAGACCUCUUUUCCUUAUAUAUUUCCUGCCAUUGAGUACUUUGUUGUAGCAAUGGAAAACAGACUAAUACAUCUAUCAAAGUAGAACUAGGGAAAAUCAUACCCAAAAAAACCUAGAAACUUUAAAUACUUCAGAGUUAACCAUCCUAGCAACAAAAAAAGAAAUUUUAAAUCCUUCAUAAAAGAGAUUGGAAAACUUUCAUUGAAGUAAAAGUCACUGCAAUUUUGUCAAGAAAUGUGGAACUGAUAUAUAAAAUCCUAGCUUAAAAGGUCAACAGAACAUCCAAUCAUGUAGGAUUGAGUGAAGAUUUUAGACUUCUGAAUGAAUCCUAAACAGUGAGACACUCAGUAAAACUUUAAUUAUUAAAAAUGUAUCAAUAUGCAUAUAAGUUCCUUGCAUUCUAGAACUGUGAAAUCUCUUCAACCUUUGGAGUGUGAAGAGCCCUAAGAGAAUGUUAUGGUUUGUAUCUAGAUGUCCUCCAAAAGCCUCAUGCACUUAUAGGUAGGGCUUUUGGGAAGGGGCUGGAUCAUGGGUGUGUAAUACUGGGAUUAAAGGUGUAUGAUAACAAAAUUAAUCCAGUGAUUGGUUAAGCACAGUCUUGGGUGUGGAUAAUGGGAAGACCCACACUGGAUGAGAGUGGCACCAACCAAUGGGCUUGUAGCCUGGAUGGGAUAAAAAGGAAAAGAAGGCUUGCUGCUGCUGCUGCCUCCUGCCUACCAUGCCAUGGACUGUUUCUCCUCUGCCAUGCUCCUCAGCCAAGCCACCCAACUAUGGACUGAAACCUCUACAAACUGUGAGCCAAAAUAAACCUUGCCUCCUUUAAUUUUAGGUGUCAGGCAUUUUGUUCCAGCAAUGAGAAAAGUAACUGAGACCAAGAAGUAUCUGAAAGAUGUCUCUCAAGAAAAAUUGUACUGCAAUGGAUACUUAUAAAAGGAAAUUCAGAUGUUUAACUUUUGAUGUUUGUUUUUUAAAGCUUGCUACAAAAAGCCACCAGAGGGGCUAGGGAUGUAGCUCAGUGGAAGUGCAAGGCCCUCAGUUUGAUACCAAAAAAAGAAGAUAUCAGAGGUCAUAAAAAUAUUUUGAAUAUUCGGUAAUUAGAAAAGUAAGAUAAAAUAGAAACAUAAGUGUUACUAGAUAUAAAUCAAAAAGAAAUAGUUAAAUCCCACUACAGAGUGUACCAUCAUUAAAAACUCAUUAGAAAUGUAACUAGAGCUUUGGAUUGGUAUCUUUUUUCAUUAUAUAUCUG